rnacentral:rRNA from 1 species
GAUGAACGCUGGCGGCGUGCCUAAUACAUGCAAGUCGAGCGAACAGACGAGGAGCUUGCUCCUCUGAUGUUAGCGGCGGACGGGUGAGUAACACGUGGAUAACCUACCUAUAAGACUGGGAUAACUUCGGGAAACCGGAGCUAAUACCGGAUAAUAUAUUGAACCGCAUGGUUCAAUAGUGAAAGACGGUUUUGCUGUCACUUAUAGAUGGAUCCGCGCCGCAUUAGCUAGUUGGUAAGGUAACGGCUUACCAAGGCAACGAUGCGUAGCCGACCUGAGAGGGUGAUCGGCCACACUGGAACUGAGACACGGUCCAGACUCCUACGGGAGGCAGCAGUAGGGAAUCUUCCGCAAUGGGCGAAAGCCUGACGGAGCAACGCCGCGUGAGUGAUGAAGGUCUUCGGAUCGUAAAACUCUGUUAUUAGGGAAGAACAAAUGUGUAAGUGACUAUGCACGUCUUGACGGUACCUAAUCAGAAAGCCACGGCUAACUACGUG